GUGGGGAAUAUUGGACAAUGGGCGCAAGCCUGAUCCAGCCAUGCCGCGUGAAGGAUGAAGGCCCUCUGGGUUGUAAACUUCUUUUAUCUGGGACGAAAAAAGGGUAUUCUUACUUACUUGACGGUACCAGAGGAAUAAGCACCGGCUAACUCCGUGCCAGCAGCCGCGGUAAUACGGAGGGUGCAAGCGUUAUCCGGAUUCACUGGGUUUAAAGGGUGCGUAGGUGGGUAUUUAAGUCAGUGGUGAAAUCUCCGAGCUUAACUCGGAAACUGCCAUUGAUACUAUUUACCUUGAAUGCCCUGGAGGUAAGCGGAAUAUGUCAUGUAGCGGUGAAAUGCUUAGAUAUGACAUAGAACACCAAUUGCGAAGGCAGCUUACUACGGGGUGAUUGACACUGAGGCACGAAAGCGUGGGGAGCAAACAGGAUUAGAAACCCCGGUAGUCC
rnacentral:rRNA from 1 species